AUCCUCUAGAUUCCUUACCCAUCAGAUCUAAUCACCGAUCUGAAUGGGUAUAAAAUGGGGAACAGUAUAAUUGAAGCUUACUUGAAUUCUUUUGUGACACAUGACAUAGUUUAAAACAAAC
rnacentral:snoRNA from 1 species